AAUCAACGCUGGCGGCGUGCCUCAGACAUGCAAGUCGAACGCGAAAGUCCCCUUCGGGGGACAAGUAGAGUGGCGCACGGGUGAGUAACACGUAGGUAAUCUACCUUCGGAUGGGGAAUAACAACCGGAAACGGUUGCUAAUACCGCAUAAUGCAGCGGCACCUAAUGGUGACAGUUGUUAAAGCGGGGGAUCGUUAAGACCUCGCGUCUGAAGAGGAGCCUGCGGCGGAUUAGCUAGUGGUAGGGUAACGGCCUACCAAGGCGACGAUCCGUAGCCGGCCCCUGAGAGGGCGGUCGGCCACACUGACACUGACAUACGGGUCAGACUCCUACGGGAGGCAGCAGUCGGGAAUUUUGGGCAAUGGGCGAAAGCCUGACCCAGCAACGCCGCGUGAAGGAUGAAA
rnacentral:rRNA from 1 species